rnacentral:rRNA from 1 species
GAUGAACGCUAGCGGCAGGCCUAACACAUGCAAGUCGAGGGGUAUGCAGUGCUUGCACUGCAGAGACCGGCGCACGGGUGCGUAACGCGUAUGCAAUCUGCCUUUUACUAAGGGAUAGCCCGUUGAAAGACGGAUUAAUACCUUAUGUUUUUAUCUUCCGGCAUCGGGAGUUAAACAAAGAGAAUUAUCGGUAAAAGAUGAGCAUGCGUCCCAUUAGUUAGUUGGUGUGGUAACGGCAUACCAAGACGAUGAUGGGUAGGGGUCCUGAGAGGGAGAUCCCCCACACUGGUACUGAGACACGGACCAGACUCCUACGGGAGGCAGCAGUGAGGAAUAUUGGUCAAUGGACGCAAGUCUGAACCAGCCAUGCCGCGUGCAGGAUGACAGUUCUAUGGAUUGUAAACUGCUUUUGUACGGGAAGAAACCUUUCCACGUGUGGAAAAUUGACGGUACCGUAAGAAUAAGGAUCGGCUAACUCCGUGCCAGCAGCCGCGGUAAUACGGAGGAUCCGAGCGUUAUCCGGAAUCAUUGGGUUUAAAGGGUUCGUAGGCGGGCUGUUAAGUCAGAGGUGAAAGUUUUCGGCUUAACCGAAAAAUAGCCUUUGAUACUGAUGGUCUUGAAUAUUAAUGAAGUAAUUAGAAUAUGUGGUGUAGCGGUGAAAUGCAUAGAUAUCACAUGGAAUACCGAUAGCGAAGGCAGGUUACUAAUUAAUUAUUGACGCUGAAGGACGAAAGCGUGGGGUAGCGAACAGGAUUAGAUACCCUGGUAGUCCACGCUGUAAACGAUGGAUACUAGCUGUUUGGACGCAAGUUUGAGUGGCUAAGCGAAAGUGAUAAGUAUCCCACCUGGGGAGUACGUUCGCAAGAAUGAAACUCAAAGGAAUUGACGGGGGCCCGCACAAGCGGUGGAGCAUGUGGUUUAAUUCGAUGAUACGCGAGGAACCUUACCAGGGCUUAAAUGGGAGUCGACGUUAGUAGAAAUACUAAUUCCUUCGGGCGAUUUUCAAGGUGCUGCAUGGUUGUCGUCAGCUCGUGCCGUGAGGUGUCAGGUUAAGUCCUAUAACGAGCGCAACCCCUAUUGUUAGUUACCAGCAUUUUUAGAUGGGGACUCUAACAAGACUGCCGGUGCAAACCGCGAGGAAGGUGGGGAUGACGUCAAAUCAUCACGGCCCUUACGUCCUGGGCUACACACGUGCUACAAUGGGCGGUACAGAGGGCAGCUACCACGCGAGUGGAUGCGAAUCUUCAAAGCCGUUCACAGUUCGGAUCGGAGUCUGCAACUCGACUCCGUGAAGCUGGAAUCGCUAGUAAUCGGAUAUCAGCCAUGAUCCGGUGAAUACGUUCCCGGGCCUUGUACACACC